rfam:Alcanivorax borkumensis SK2, complete genome
AAUUUCGCGCCACCUUUCGGUGCCCACCCUGAACACAGGGCGGGUUAAACGGGAAGCCGGUGAGAGCCUUGGCUCUAAUCCGGCGCUGCCCCCGCAACGGUGAUUGAGUAAACGAUAGUCGAAAUGCCACUGUGCUUUUGCAUGGGAAGGCGACUGUCGAGAGGCUAAGCCUCGCUCAUUAGCCCGGAGACCGGCCAAAAGGUAAGGAAGCUU